GACGAACGCUGGCGGCGUGCCUAAUACAUGCAAGUAGAACGCUGAAGAGAGGAGCUUACUCUUCUUGGAUGAGUUGCGAACGGGUGAGUAACGCGUAGGUAACCUGCCUUGUAGCGGGGGAUAACUAUUGGAAACGAUAGCUAAUACCGCAUAACAAUGGAUGACACAUGUCAUUUAUUUGAAAGGGGCAAUUGCUCCACUACAAGAUGGACCUGCGUUGUAUUAGCUAGUAGGUGAGGUAAUGGCUCACCUAGGCGACGAUACAUAGCCGACCUGAGAGGGUGAUCGGCCACACUGGGACUGAGACACGGCCCAGACUCCUACGGGAGGCAGCAGUAGGGAAUCUUCGGCAAUGGGGGCAACCCUGACCGAGCAACGCCGCGUGAGUGAAGAAGGUUUUCGGAUCGUAAGGCUCUGUUGUAAGUCAAGAACGGGUGUGAGAGUGGAAAGUUCACACUGUGACGGUAGCUGACCAGAAAGGGACGGCUAACUACGUG
rnacentral:rRNA from 1 species